rnacentral:rRNA from 1 species
UACGGGGGCAGCAGUGGGGAAUAUUGCACAAUGGGCGCAAGCCUGAUGCAGCCAUGCCGCGUGUAUGAAGAAGGCCUUCGGGUUGUAAAGUACUUUCAGCAGUGAGGAAGGUGGAUAUGUUAAUAGCAUAUUCAUUUGACGUUAGCUGCAGAAGAAGCACCGGCUAACUCCGUGCCAGCAGCCGCGGUAAUACGGAGGGUGCGAGCGUUAAUCGGAAUUACUGGGCGUAAAGCGCAUGCAGGUGGUUUGUUAAGUCAGAUGUGAAAGCCCGGGGCUCAACCUCGGAAUUGCAUUUGAAACUGGCAAACUAGAGUACUGUAGAGGGGGUAGAAUUUCAGGUGUAGCGGUGAAAUGCGUAGAGAUCUGAAGGAAUACCGGUGGCGAAGGCGGCCCCCUGGACAGAUACUGACACUCAGAUGCGAAAGCGUGGGGAGCAAACAGGAUUAGAUACCCUGGUAG